UACGUAGGGGGCAAGCGUUGUCCGGAUUUAUGGGGCGUAAAGAGCGUGUAGGCGGCCAUACAGGUCCGUUGUGAAAACUCGAGGCUUAACCUCGAGACGUCGAUGGAAACCGUAUGGCUAGAGUCCGGAAGAGGAGAGUGGAAUUCCUGGUGUAGCGGUGAAAUGCGCAGAUAUCAGGAAGAACACCUGUGGCGAAGGCGGCUCUCUGGGACGGUACUGACGCUGAGACGCGAAAGCGUGGGGAGCGAACAGG
rnacentral:rRNA from 1 species